CCCUUAGAUGUUCUGGGCCGCACGCGCGCUACACUGAUGCAUUCAACGAGCCUAUCCUUGACCGACAGGUCCGGGUAAUCUUUGAAUCUGCAUCGUGACGGGGAUAGAUUAUUGCAAUUAUUAAUCUUCAACGAGGAAGGCCUAGUAGGCGCAAGUCAUCAGCUUGCGUCGAUUACGUCCCUGCCCUUUGUACACACCGCCCGUCGCUCCUACCGAUUGGGUGUGCUGGUGAAAUGUUCGGAUCGGCCGUUUGUCGCGGUUUCCGCGUCAUGUGGCUGAGAAGUUCAUUAAACCCUCCCACCUAGAGGAAGGAGAAGUCGUAACA
rnacentral:rRNA from 1 species